AACAAACGCUGGCGGCGUGCCUAAUACAUGCAAGUCGAACGGGGAAAGCUUUCGGGUGAGUACUAGUGGCGCACGGGUGAGUAACGCGUGGAUAAUCUGCCUUGAAGAGGGGGAUAACCAGUCGAAAGAUUGGCUAAUACCGCAUAAGACCACAGGAACUGAGGUUCUAGAGGUCAAAGGUUUUUCGCUUCAAGAUGAGUCCGCGUAAGAUUAGCUAGUUGGUGAGGUAACGGCUCACCAAGGCGACGAUCUUUAACUGGUCUGAGAGGAUGAUCGGUCACACUGGAACUGAGACACGGUCCAGACUCCUGCGGGAGGCAGCAGUAGGGAAUAUUGCACAAUGGAGGAAACUCUGAUGCAGCGACGCCGCGUGAGUGAUGAAGGCCUUCGGGUCGUAAAGCUCUGUCGCAGGGGAAUAACACAAUGAAGGUACCCUGUAAGAAAGGAUCGGCUAACUUCGUGCCAGCAGCCGCCGUAAUAC
rnacentral:rRNA from 1 species